rnacentral:rRNA from 1 species
AGUGAACGCUGGCGGUAGGCCUAACACAUGCAAGUCGAACGGCAGCACAGUAAGAGCUUGCUCUUACGGGUGGCGAGUGGCGGACGGGUGAGGAAUACAUCGGAAUCUACUUUUUCGUGGGGGAUAACGUAGGGAAACUUACGCUAAUACCGCAUACGACCUACGGGUGAAAGCAGGGGAUCUUCGGACCUUGCGCGAUUGAAUGAGCCGAGGUCGGAUUAGCUAGUUGGCGGGGUAAAGGCCCACCAAGGCGACGAUCCGUAGCUGGUCUGAGAGGAUGAUCAGCCACACUGGAACUGAGACACGGUCCAGACUCCUACGGGAGGCAGCAGUGGGGAAUAUUGGACAAUGGGCGCAAGCCUGAUCCAGCCAUACCGCGUGGGUGAAGAAGGCCUUCGGGUUGUAAAGCCCUUUUGUUGGGAAAGAAAAGCAGCAGGUUAAUACCACGCUGUUCUGACGGUACCCAAAGAAUAAGCACCGGCUAACUUCGUG